rnacentral:sRNA from 1 species
CUGACGAUAUCGAGGCUGGCUUUCCGCCGGUGGGGAUGACCUGCACACGCAGGCGGCAGUACCGCGUACUCAACCGAUACCCCGCAAUACCUCAACCUGCGUUCACUCUGGCGCACAGAUAUUCGUCA